GAUGAACGCUGGCGGCGUGCCUAAUACAUGCAAGUCGAGCGAACAGACGAGGAGCUUGCUCCUCUGACGUUAGCGGCGGACGGGUGAGUAACACGUGUAUAACCUACCUAUAAGACUGGGAUACCUUCGGGAACCCGGAGCUAAUACCGGAUAAUAUAUUGAACCGCAUGGUUCAAUAGUUCAAGACGGGUUUGCUGUCACUUAUAGAUGGAUCCGCGCCGCAUUAGCUAGUUGGUAGGGUAACGGCUUACCACGGCAACGAUGCGUAGCCGACCUGAGAGGGUGAUCGGCCACACGGGAACUGCGACACGGUCCAGACUCCUACGGGAGGCAGCAGUAGGGAAUCUUCCGCAAUGGGCGAAAGCCUGACGGAGCAACGCCGCGUGAGUGAUGAAGGUCUUCGGAUCGUAAAACUCUGUUAUUAGGGAAGAACAAAUGUGUAAGUAACUAUGCACGUCUUGACGGUACCUAAUCAGAAAGCCACGGCUAACUACGUG
rnacentral:rRNA from 1 species